GGCGCAAGCGCGUUGAGCGCGUUCGGCGAGGGCCGGAAGUAGCGGAGGGGGGCGGAGAAGAGCCUCCUGAAGGGAGGAGCCGAGAACCUGCGCAGGGGCGGCGUGGUGCCACGGUUCUGGGGGAGAGCGCCCGACGUGGGUGGGGUCGUACAGAUCGACUCGUCCCCUAACUCGGCAGAUGCAAAGACGGGCAUCUUCAGAGGGGUGGUGUUGAGUCCUUUUUUUUCCCUUGUGAGGAAAUGCUGUCGGGAGACGCUGGCAUUGUGUCAUCAGCAUUUACGUCGUCUUAAGCUUCAGUUGCCCGAGAUCAACUGUGGUUCAGAAGCAGAUGGCCCUCCUGACGUAUCUUCUAACGGUACAUCAGAAUACCUACAUCAUUUACCUCACUCUAUUUCAUCACACAGGCAUUUUGUCAUUUCAUGUCACCACAAAAAGGGGGAACAAAACACUUUGCAGGGCAUCGUGGCUCCAAUUUGGUGGGGAUCAAGCAGCACCUCUCACCAAGAAGAAGGGAAAGAAUGAGGUGGAUCGUGGUAGCAGGAGUGCGUAGCAUAUCUGACGUCAGCUAGCCGCCCAAAGAGCCAGAUGGAGCCCUAGCUGGCAGCAACGGGGAGCAGGGAAGCUGGCUUCUUUCAAUCAGUCAUGCUGUGGAGUGCAGUGAAGACACCUCUCCCAAAGCUGCCGGAGCUGCAAGCCUGCCCCAGCAAGAUGAGAGGGAAGUCGGGAAGGCCAGUUUAUUUUAUUUUUAGUAAUCUCUACACUGCAUGUGAAGCUCGAACUCAGAACCCUAAGAUCAAGAGUCAUGUGCUCUACCGACCGAGCCAGCUGGGCGCCCCUGACUGCCUCUUUUAUUUCCUCUUGGUAAGAGAGAAGAAUGAGCUAUGGUUUUUUCCUAGGCUGAAGGCAUAUAAUACUUAAGAGUUCUCGCUAACUGGAAAGAAAAACUAGAAAAGAAAAGCCAUUUUACAUGUUAUUCUGACCGAAGAGUGAAAAUCCUCAUGCUUAUCAGUUUUUGUUAUUUUGCUUUGUUUUGUUUUAUAGCUGCUGGCUAGGUAUUACUUGAAUCCGUAUUUGUUUGACUUGAUAAUUUAUUUACUUAUCCAACAAAUAUUUGUCAAAAGUCUUCUAUGUGCCAGGCACCAUUUGGUUAUUAUUGGCUUUGCUGCUUUGGUUGUUUUUUGUUUUUAGCGGUAG